UACGUAGGGUGCGAGCGUUAAUCGGAAUUACUGGGCGUAAAGCGUGCGCAGGCGGUUAUGUAAGACAGAUGUGAAAUCCCCGGGCUCAACCUGGGAACUGCAUUUGUGACUGCAUGGCUAGAGUACGGUAGAGGGGGAUGGAAUUCCGCGUGUAGCAGUGAAAUGCGUAGAUAUGCGGAGGAACACCGAUGGCGAAGGCAAUCCCCUGGACCUGUACUGACGCUCAUGCACGAAAAGCGUGGGGGAGCAAAACAGGAUUAGAUACCCCGCGUAGUCC
rnacentral:rRNA from 1 species